UCAAGUACUCAAGGGUAUUUGGUGGAUGUUCUGGCGCUAAGAGGCGAUGAAGGACGUGGGACGGCUGCGUAAAGCUGCGGCGAGCUGCCAACCAAGCUACGACCCGCAGAUGUCCGAAUCCGGAAACGGGCCGGGGCAAUACCCCGGCAUCCAUAACUGAAUACAUAGGUUAUGGAGGCGAACGAGGUGAACUGAAACAUCUCAGUAACCUCAGGAAGAGAAAGAAACCUCGAUUCCCCUAGUAGCGGCGAGCGAACGGGGAUGAUUGCCUAAACCGACUGCUUGUAAGCCUGCAAGCGUUUUGUAGUCGGUGUUGUGGGAAGUAUGCCACUGGUUUGCAGAUCAGUGCAGGAGUUACAAAACCAAGUUCUAGUUGAAGGUCCUGGAAAGUUCCGCCAUAGCGGGUGAUAGCCCCGUAAGCGAAAGGCCUUGGACUCCUGAUUACUCUCCCGAGUAGUACCAGACACGGGAAACCUGGUAUGAAUCUGCGGGGACCACCCCGUAAGGCUAAAUACUACUUAGCGACCGGUAGCGAACAGUAGCGUGAGCGAAAAAUGAAAAGCACCCCGGUGAGGGGAGUGAAAUAGUACCUGAAACCAGAUACCUACAAGCUGUCGGAGCCCUAUGUCCUCUGGACACGGGUGACGGCGUACCUUUUGUAUAAUGGGCCGGCGAGUUAAUCUAUGUAGCGAGGUUAAGAGCCUAUGGCUCGUAGCCGAAGCGAAAGCGAGUGCGAAAUGUGCGACUCAAGUUGCAUGGAUUAGACGCGAACGCAGGUGAUCUAUCCAUGGCCAGGCUGAAGCGAGCCUAACAGCUCGUGGAGGGCCGAACCCGUCAACGUUGAAAAGUUGUGGGAUGAGCUGUGGAUUGGAGCAAAAAACUAACCGAACCUGCAGAUAGCUCGUUCUCCUCGAAAUAGCUUUUGGGCUAGCGUCGUGUAAUAGUGCACGGGGGUAGAGCACUGAUCUGGAAUGGGGGGCUUCCCGCCUACCCAUCCUAAUCAAACUCCGAAUACCGUGUACCGUAUCGCGGCAGUCAGUCUGCGGGGGAUAAGCUCCGCAGUCGAGAGGGAAACAACCCAGACCACCGUCUAAGGUCCCCAAGGGUAACUCAGUGGUAAAAGGAAGUGGAUUUGCUAAGACAGCCAGGAUGUUGGCUUAGAAGCAGCCAUCAUUUAAAAAGUGCGUAACAGCUUACUGGUCGAGCAAGUCUGCGCCGAAAAUUAACGGGACUAAGUUGCACACCGAAGACGUGGGCUCAUAGAUGGCGUUGCCUUCUAUGAGCGGUAGAGGAGCGUUCCACACUAGGCUGAAGGUCGACCGUAAGGACGGCUGGACGACGUGGAAGUGAGAAUGCCGGCAUGAGUAACGAUAAAAUAAGUGAGAAUCUUAUUCGCCGAAAACCCAAGGUUUCCUGGGGAAGGUAAAUCCGCCCAGGGUUAGUCGGAUCCUAAGGCGAGGCCGAAAGGCGUAGUCGAUGGGAAACAGGUUAAUAUUCCUGUACCGGCUUCUAGCGACAAAGACACGAUGGGGUGACGGGGAGACGCAGGUGAUCAGGCCAUUAGUCGUGCCUGUCCAAGCCCGCGGACAUGCUGUAGGUAAAUCCGCAGCGAUAAUGUUCGGAGGUAAUGGCGAGCGCUUAUGCGCGAAGUCACAGAAGGCUCCUCCAAGAAAAACCUCUAGUGAGCUAGCGGCCGACCGUACCGUAAACUGACACAGGUGGGUGGGGUGAGUAUCCUAAGGCGCUCGAGAGAACCACCGUUAAGGAACUCGGCAAAAUGGCUCCGUAACUUCGGGAUAAGGAGAGCCACGCACGGUGAAGCGACUUGCUCGCAGAGCUGGGUGUGGCCGCAGAGAAAUGGCCCAAGCGACUGUUUACCAAAAACACAGGUCUGUGCUAAGUCAAACUGACGCUGUAUACAGACUGACGCCUGCCCAAUGCCGGAAGGUCAAGUGGACGAGUUAGCCCUUGUGGCGAAGCCCGGAAAUGAAGCCCCGGUGAAUGGCGGCCGUAACUAUGACGGUCCUAAGGUAGCGAAGUUCCUUGUCGGGUAAGUUCCGACCCGCACGAAAGGCGUAACGACUUGGGCACUGUCUCAACGGUGGACUCGGUGAAAUUGUAGUCGUGGUGAGAAUACCACGUAACCACGCCAGGACGAAAAGACCCCGUGAACCUUUACUGUAGGCUGGUAUUGGGUUCUAGUCAGUCAUGUGUAGCAUAGGUGGGAGGCGUUGAAGCCGGUACGCUAGUACUGGUGGAGCCAUCAGUGAAAUACCACUCUUGUCUUUCUGGGAUCCUAACCGCGAUAUCCGUGAAACCGGACGCGGAACAGUGCUUGCUGGGCAGUUUGGCUGGGGCGGUCUCCUCCUAAAGAGUAACGGAGGAGCCCAAAGGCAUCCUCAAUGCGGUUGGCAAUCGCAUGUCGAGUGUAAAGGCACAAGGAUGCUUGACUGCAAGACCUAUAAGUCGCGCAGGUGUGAAAGCAGGGCUUAGUGAUCCUGCGAUCCCGUGUGGAAGGGUCGUAGCUCAUCAGACAAAAGGUACUCCGGGGAUAACAGGCUGAUCUCCCCCAAGAGUCCGUAUCGACGGGGAGGUUUGGCACCUCGAUGUCGGCUCAUCGCAUCCUGGGGCUGGAGAAGGUCCCAAGGGUUUGGCUGUUCGCCAAUGAAAGCGGUACGCGAGCUGGGUUCAGACCGUCGUGAGACAGGUCGGUCUCUAUCCGGCGUGGUCGUUGGAAACUUGAGAAGAUUUGCCCCUAGUACGAGAGGAUUGGGGCGGACGAACCCCUGGUGUACCAGUUAUCGCGCUAGCGGUACCGCUGGGUAGCUAAGUUCGGAACGGAUAAACGCUGAAGGCAUAUAAGCGUGAAGCCUACUUCAAGAUGAGGUUUCCCUAUCAGGCUCCUGGUAGAACACCAGGUUGAUAGGCUGGAGGUGUAAGUGCAGCAAUGCAUUGAGCUCACCAGUACUAAUAGGCCGAUUGGCUUGACU
rnacentral:rRNA from 1 species